rnacentral:lncRNA from 1 species
GGGUUAGUUGUGAUGCGUGUACAUUGGAGGUCUGAAUUUGUAAAAUGGGGAACAGAGGGAAAUUGAGGGGAAAAGGGUGUAGGGGCCUUUGGGCAAAUAUUUCUUCUAAUGGAGGGGGAUGAAUUUACGACCACACUUGGUGAAUUUUAUGAUGAAGAACAAGGAUUGUUGUCCCUAUUGUGUGCAUGUAAAAAAGCAAUUCUUUGUCUUAGGAUCCUAUGUAUAAUGUACUUGUUGUAAUUAAGGAUGUAUUGUAGCUUUGAAUUUAUGUCUUAUAUUACAAAAUUCACAGGGGGCAUGCUAUCUUGAGUAAAAUAUAUAGUUCAUAAUGAAGGUAAAUCUCCGGGCUCUACCUAAAUUGGGGAUGCACACAUCUAGUUUACCUUUUAUAAUGUAUGGGACACCAUUUCUUGACCAUGCCAUAGGUAGGUGCUGACCAUGUAAAACCAUAAUAUUUAAUAAAUCACUUUAAGUGAAUUAGAC